GGGCUCGGGCUUGGGCUGGCUUGAUUGGCUGGGGCCAAGCUUGGGCUUGGACUCGGAUUGAGCUUUGAUCUUAAGUUUUCAAAUAUUUUUGGACCUUAGCUCAGUCCAAAAAAAUAUUUCAGAUUGAGUUCGGGUAUGGCUGUAGUCCGAUCUAGUCCGGCCUGUUUCUAGCUCUAUAAUAAUAUGAUUUGGAAAGAAAUUAAAAAUUUAUUUGGAUUUAGGAUGAAUAAAUUUAUUUUUUUGGAUUGGGCUUGGGUACGGAUGUGGUCCGACCCAGUCUGGCCC
rnacentral:lncRNA from 1 species